UACACACCGCCCGUCACACCAUGAGAGUUGGGGAUACCCGAAGCCUGUGAGCCAACAAUAUAUUGAGGCAGCAGUCGAAGGUAGAAUCAAUGAUUGGGUGAAGUCGUAACAAGGUAAC
rnacentral:rRNA from 1 species